AACGCACGAGACCUGCGGACCUGCGGAGGGAUCAUUACCGAGUUAUCCAACUCCCAACCCCUGUGAAUUAUACCUUUAAUUGUUGCUUCGGCGGGACUUCGCGCCCGCCGGGGACCCGAACCUUCUGAAUUUUUAAUAAGUAUCUUCUGAGUGGUUAAAAAAAAAUGAAUCAAAACUUUUAGCAAUGGAUCUCU
rnacentral:misc_RNA from 1 species